CGAUAAAGAAAAGCCUGAGGAUGGCCUAUCCAAAUAGGCCGAAAACGUUUGAAUAAAGAGAAAAAAACUCGGCAAGUAGAAUUCAGAUAGAAAAUACGUUUCAAGACGUCAGACAAUUCGCAGGAUGUGAUAUUGGACUGAAAAUAAAGCUGAAGAUUUUAAAUUUUAUGAAAAGAUUUGGAAAAGUCUUUCUGUCUUUUUUAGUGGUAGAUAAGAGAAUUGUUUUUAAGAUGGCAAGAACACUACAUUCCAUUUUCUCCGGUUUCUUAAAACUAAAAACCGUUUCAAAUAAGAAAGAAAACUGUGAACAGAUUUAUAAAUUCAAUCACACGAAGUCAACUUAAACCUUUGCUACUGAUCGAUUUCCUAUUAAAAUAUAGUUGUUUCUCGUGCAAUACGGCACUUCUAGAAGACGGUUUCGUUCUAACAUAAUUUAGGAAUGUUGAAAUUCGAUACUUUUUUUUAUUUAAGUAAGAAUGUGUGUUAGCUUGAAUUUUUCUGCGGUUUUAAAGCCGUUAAGAUAUUCUAUGUGUUUUAUUUUUAUAGUUAAAUUAGCUGUUACCCGCGACUUCGUACGCGCAGGUUUUGAAA